UACGAAGGGGGCUAGCGUUGCUCGGAAUCACUGGGCGUAAAGCGCACGUAGGCGGCUUUUUAAGUCAGGGGUGAAAUCCUGGAGCUCAACUCCAGAACUGCCUUUGAUACUGGGAAGCUUGAGUCCGGAAGAGGUGAGUGGAACUCCGAGUGUAGAGGUGAAAUUCGUAGAUAUUCGGAAGAACACCAGUGGCGAAGGCGGCUCACUGGUCCGGUACUGACGCUGAGGUGCGAAAGCGUGGGGAGCGAUCCGG
rnacentral:rRNA from 1 species